rnacentral:rRNA from 1 species
AAGAGUUUGAUCAUGGCUCAGAUUGAACGCUGGCGGCAGGCCUAACACAUGCAAGUCGAACGGUAACAGGAAGCAGCUUGCUGCUUCGCUGACGAGUGGCGGACGGGUGAGUAAUGUCUGGGAAACUGCCUGAUGGAGGGGGAUAACUACUGGAAACGGUGGCUAAUACCGCAUAACGUCGCAAGACCAAAGAGGGGGACCUUCGGGCCUCUUGCCAUCAGAUGUGCCCAGAUGGGAUUAGCUUGUUGGUGAGGUAACGGCUCACCAAGGCGACGAUCCCUAGCUGGUCUGAGAGGAUGACCAGCCACACUGGAACUGAGACACGGUCCAGACUCCUACGGGAGGCAGCAGUGGGGAAUAUUGCACAAUGGGCGCAAGCCUGAUGCAGCCAUGCCGCGUGUAUGAAGAAGGCCUUCGGGUUGUAAAGUACUUUCAGCGGGGAGGAAGGUGUUGUGGUUAAUAACCGCAGCAAUUGACGUUACCCGCAGAAGAAGCACCGGCUAACUCCGUGCCAGCAGCCGCGGUAAUACGGAGGGUGCAAGCGUUAAUCGGAAUUACUGGGCGUAAAGCGCACGCAGGCGGUCUGUCAAGUCGGAUGUGAAAUCCCCGGGCUCAACCUGGGAACUGCAUUCGAAACUGGCAGGCUUGAGUCUUGUAGAGGGGGGUAGAAUUCCAGGUGUAGCGGUGAAAUGCGUAGAGAUCUGGAGGAAUACCGGUGGCGAAGGCGGCCCCCUGGACAAAGACUGACGCUCAGGUGCGAAAGCGUGGGGAGCAAACAGGAUUAGAUACCCUGGUAGUCCACGCCGUAAACGAUGUCUACUUGGAGGUUGUGCCCUUGAGGCGUGGCUUCCGGAGCUAACGCGUUAAGUAGACCGCCUGGGGAGUACGGCCGCAAGGUUAAAACUCAAAUGAAUUGACGGGGGCCCGCACAAGCGGUGGAGCAUGUGGUUUAAUUCGAUGCAACGCGAAGAACCUUACCUGGUCUUGACAUCCACAGAACUUUCCAGAGAUGGAUUGGUGCCUUCGGGAACUGUGAGACAGGUGCUGCAUGGCUGUCGUCAGCUCGUGUUGUGAAAUGUUGGGUUAAGUCCCGCAACGAGCGCAACCCUUAUCCUUUGUUGCCAGCGAUUAGGUCGGGAACUCAAAGGAGACUGCCAGUGAUAAACUGGAGGAAGGUGGGGAUGACGUCAAGUCAUCAUGGCCCUUACGACCAGGGCUACACACGUGCUACAAUGGCGCAUACAAAGAGAAGCGACCUCGCGAGAGCAAGCGGACCUCAUAAAGUGCGUCGUAGUCCGGAUUGGAGUCUGCAACUCGACUCCAUGAAGUCGGAAUCGCUAGUAAUCGUGGAUCAGAAUGCCACGGUGAAUACGUUCCCGGGCCUUGUACACACCGCCCGUCACACCAUGGGAGUGGGUUGCAAAAGAAGUAGGUAGCUUAACCUUCGGGAGGGCGCUUACCACUUUGUGAUUCAUGACUGGGGUGAAGUCGUAACAAGGUAACCGUAGGGGAACCUGCGGUUGGAUCACCUCCUUACCUUAAAGAAGC